GGAACUCCAUGUGUAGCGGUGAAAUGCGUAGAUAUAUGGAAGAACACCAGUGGCGAAGGCGGCUUACUGGACCGUAACUGACGUUGAGGCUCGAAAGUAUGGGUAGCAAACAGGAUUAGAUACCCUGGUAGUCCAUACCGUAAACGAUGAAUGCUAAGUGUUGGAGGGUUUCCGCCCUUCAGUGCUGCAGCUAACGCAUUAAGCAUUCCGCCUGGGGAGUACGACCGCAAGGCUGAAACUCAAAGGAAUUGACGGGGACCCGCACAAGCGGUGGAGCAUGUGGUUUUAAUUCGAA
rnacentral:rRNA from 1 species